ensembl:lncRNA uncharacterized LOC107654801
CUUUGAGCUACAUGUGUGCUGUGAGGGUAUAUAUGUUCUGUACAGAUGGCAUGUGGAUGUUAAUGCAUGAGAAAAAAAUAUAGGCUACAGCAAAUGUAUUAGCCUACACAGAUGUAAAAUGAACAGUUUCGUCUUUUUAACACAGUAUAUUGGAUUGUUGUCAUAUGCUGUCUCGUGUCCUCCAGCAACUUUCGCUUUUGUUAGCAUCGACUGAAAACCAGUCGAUCAGGUUGAACCGCGCAGUACAGAAGUCGACAGCUCACACUUUACGAAGCUCUCGCUUUUCGCUGGUGUUUGGAGAUUUUCCCACAGUCAUGUCAGAGGGACAGUCGGAUGAUGGAAUGGAAUGCCAGGAAUAUGGAAAUCCACAGCCCAUCAAUAUCUCAAGCAGUGCUGAUCAAGAUAUGGAGGAUGUAAGUCAGGGUUCUAAUGCUCAGGCCAUAACUGUUCAGAUGGUGCAAAGCGGUCAGUUUUCUAAUGGUCAGGGUACCGGUGGACGUGUAGUCACUCAACAACCUCUCAGAACCAUUGGACAUGAUAAUAUGAUCUCACCUGCUCAGAUAAUACAAUCUAAUGAUCAGGACUUCAGUGCCGCAGGUGCGGAAAGUCUAGACUCUAGACAUCUUCCGGAUCACAUGAAGCAUCAAAACAUCACAUCGGGUCAAACAAACCAAUCAGACUCAGAGAAGAAUUUACCAUCAAGCCGUGUUGAAGGUCAAGACUCUAGAUCAUCUCUGGAUGAACAGAAGCAUCAGGAUAUCACAACAAACAAAUCAGACUCACAGCCAGAGGAGGACAUUUGUAAAAAUGGUGAUAUAAACACAACCCAAUCACAACCCUCAGCACCACUGGAUAUUGCCAACUUGAAAAUCAAAGUGGACUGGACAGAACCAUUUCCAGAUAAAUGGAGUAAAAAAUUACAGAUUGCCAUUCAGAGAUGGUUGUCCAAACUGGAAGGAGCACCAUCUGUCCACAGCAUUAAACUCAUGGAUGAUCAAUCAUUGGCACAGGUGCAGAUUACACCAUCAACGGCUCUAGAAACUUUAGAAAAUCAUGGGACUGUAUCUUUGAAUUUUAAACAUGAAAAUAAGGAUGCGACUGCGCAGAUUUUUCUGGAUGAAGCACAUUCUGUGACUGUAUCACAAAACACCUCCACGUCGGACAAGAACAGAAUUCCAUCAUCAAAGGUAUCAAGUUUACUUUUUUAAGGUUUUGAUUGCUUAG